AUUGAACGCUGGCGGCAUGCCUUACACAUGCAAGUCGAACGGUAACAGGUUAAGCUGACGAGUGGCGAACGGGUGAGUAAUGUAUCGGAACGUGCCCAGUCGUGGGGGAUAACUGCUCGAAAGAGCAGCUAAUACCGCAUACGACCUGAGGGUGAAAGCGGGGGAUCGCAAGACCUCGCGCGAUUGGAGCGGCCGAUAUCAGAUUAGGUAGUUGGUGAGGUAAAGGCUCACCAAGCCGACGAUCUGUAGCUGGUCUGAGAGGACGACCAGCCACACUGGGACUGAGACACGGCCCAGACCCCGGCGGGAGGAAGCGGGGGGGAAUUUGGGACAGUGGGCGCAAGCGUGACCCAGCCAUGCCGGGGGGGGGAAGAGGGCCUGCGGGUUGUAACGCUCUUUUGUCAGGAAAGAAAAGGUUCGGGCUAAUCCCUGGACCUCAGGAGGGUACCUGAAAAAUAAGCACCGGCUAACUACGUG
rnacentral:rRNA from 1 species